GAAGAAGGCCCUAGGGUUGUAAACCGCUUUCAGCAGGGAAGAAACUGACGGUACCUGCAGAAGAAGGUGCGGCCAACUACGUGCCAGCAGCCGCGGUGACACGUAGGCACCAAGCGUUGUCCGGAUUUAUUGGGCGUAAAGAGCUCGUAGGCGGUUCAGUAAGUCGGGUGUGAAAACUCUGGGCUCAACCCAGAGACGCCACCCGAUACUGCUGUGACUCGAGUACGGUAGGGGAGUGGGGAAUUCCUGGUGUAGCGGUGAAAUGCGCAGAUAUCGGGAGGAACAUCAGUGGCGAAGGCGGCUACCUGGCCCAAUACUGACACUCAGGUGCGACAGCGUGGGGAGCAAACAGGAUUAGAUACCCUGGUAGUCCACGCCGUAAACGAUGAGAACUAGAUGUCGGGGGGGAUUAGCCCCUCGGUGUCGUAGCUAACGCGCUAAGUUCUCCGCCUGGGGAGUACGGCCGCAAGGUUG
rnacentral:rRNA from 1 species